CUUUUAUCUCAAAAUAAAAGUCAGAAUUUUGACUCUAAUCCCAGAAUUCUGAGUCUAAUCUCAGAAGUCAGGCUGUUAUUUAUUUAUUUAUUUUACAUUUGGCCCUAAUCCUCUUCUGUAAUUUAGAUUCAGAUUAUCCAAAUACUGUGUCUCACAUACUUCAUUACUAUUCUUUCUUGUUUUCCCCUAUUUUCUAGGCUCUAGAGAUCAUUUUGAAGAAUUUGGGGGCUUUUGUUUCAAAUGAAAGUCACAAAAUGAAGUGAUGUCAAACAGCAGUGACACGAUCACCUCACAUUCCUCCACCUGCCACAUGGUAAUUCCCUCCUGUAAACAAUAAAAGGUGCCAUUAUCAUCGCAAGCCAGGGACAGGAUUAGACACAUCCUCAUUUGCAUGGAUUUCCACCCAAAAUAAUAAUAAUAAGACGGUUUCAACGAAGGAAGGAAAUAAAGACAAAAGGUGAAGCUAAUUUAUGGAAAGCUUCGGCUGCUCCGCCGCUAACUACUUUGAUGCUUAAUCCCUUAUUAACCCUCACAAUAUUAGGCGUGAACGUUGAAAGUGCACACGUGUGCACAUUUUGUUUCCAGUGCACGCACACCUGGAGGAGCCGAGGAUUCCUGAGUCUGGGGAGCAGAUACUGAGGCCAGUAUUAUCCCUCUGGGAAAUAAAGAUAGGCUGAGAAGUGAGAUGAGGCCACUGUGAAGACGCGCCGCAGAGCAACAACCCAAUCCCGCUUGUGUUUACUCUCACUGGUUUCCAGGGCAAUGGCAGGAGACGCUGCCUUCUCCUGUGGAAGCAAACCCACUUGGACGAGAGCGUUUCAGCCUUCAGAAUAAAAAUGUCAGGCGGGUCGGGGGGUGUUCCAUUACUGCGACCGUUCUCUCGUGUUGUGCAGCAGAUUUCUCAGAAUGACGCAGAGUACAUAAAUGUACUCUUGUGUUCCUCUGUGUGUGUGUGUAUGUGCAUGCAUUUUUAAGAUAAUCGAACUAUCUCUCUGACCAAAGAGCUUCUUGGCUUAAUCCCAUUAUUGACCUGCCAUCUGCAGAUUUCUGUGGGUGCAGGCUGCACUAACAAGUACUUCCCUAAUCAAUUUGUUUUUAUGUAAGUUAGAACAUGUGCACCCAUGGCUGUAUGUGUGUGUUCACUUGUGUUUAUACAUCUUUGUGAAGACCAUAUCUGACUUGUGUGGGGAUUUUGGCUGGUCCCCAUGUUCUGUUGUACCUUAAAAGAGCUGUUGAUGGGGUUAAUUCCUUGUUUUUAGAGUUUUGGGCUCGGGUUAGUUUAGGCAUUAUAGGGUAGGUAUUGUCUCACAAGAAGAUGCUGGGUUAAAUUCCAGGGUCUGGGAUCUUUCUGUGCAGAGUUUGCGUGGAUUUCCUCUGACCAUCAAAACAUGUAUGAAUGUUCAGAUGUUGGACACGUUCAGUCAGGAAUGCCUUGCCCAGACUGUUGAGCAUUUUAAAUCUGCUUUAAAAACCUACUUUUACUCCAUGGUGUUCAACUCAGGUUGUAGCUGUAAAGAAUAAUAUGUGAGUACAGGUAUAUUUGUACUUUUGUCUUUGUGAACACCAAAAAAACCUAUAAACCUCCGGAAGCGAGGACAUUUUGUGAAAGUGAGGACAUUUUAGCUUGUCCUUCCUUCUGUCACACCUUAGAUGUGUGUUAAGACCUGGAUCUAGUUUAGUUUAGGUUUAGGGUUAGGCAUUGAGCUGUGAUUUAGUCUAUGUGUGUCCUGUACAAAGGUGUGAUGGUGUUUUACCAGGUUUUACUCGUGUUGUGAGGACCUAAAUCUGUUUACACUGUCACAUUAUAGGGACAAAAAGCAAGUUCCCGUAAUGUAGAUUGUUGCAUUUCAAGGUGAAGACAUGUUUGGUGGUUAGGAUGAGGUUAAGGUUGGAGUGAGUGUCCAGGAAAUGAAUGAAAGUCAGUGUAAUGUCUUCAGACGUCAUGGAAGCCAGACUCUGUGCGUGUGUCACCCAGUGGUUUGCAGCUUUGAGUGUCUUCCUCUGUGAGGGAGACAGCGUAUGCAGAGACGAGCUCCAUUGUUGGGCAUAAAUUGCUGGGCCGGAGCUCCUCCCCAUCCUCCACCCCCCCUCUACCCCCCACAAUACUAGAUCGAUCUUAUCCUUACCUAUAAUGAGUUUCUCUGUCUGAGAGCGAGGGGUGGGAGCCAGGACAUGGAGUGGAGAGGAGUGCGUGAGUGGGAAGAGGGUGGAGCAAUGAUGAGGCGUACACUGUUGCUGUUGCUGGUGAUUAUGAGGACGACUGACUUUGCCACGGAGAAGCAGCUGCGUGAUAUUUAUGACCACGCGAAGGCUUCAAGUUAUAAUGUGACAGUACAUUAGUGCCACGAGGUGAAUUAUUCCAAAACAGUCAAUGUCACACUCUGUUAUACUGCAUUGUAUGGUGAGAUACAGUGAGCACCAUCAGGAUGUAGUAAAAUAAUAGUAAUUAUACUUUUAUUUAUAGAGCAUCUUUCAUAUAUAAGUGCACCUUAAAAUGUUUCACAAUACAUCUUUUUUUGAAGAUUAUAAGAAGAGAACGUGCAUAAACAGAUAAAUAAAAAAUAUAGUAUGGAAAGUGAUUCUGGUUUUAAAGAGCAUGCAGGGGGGGAAAUAUAAAAGAUAAAACAUCCAAUAAAAGGCGGUGAUUUAAAAGCAUCCAUAAAAGUCAACAAUGUUAAAAGGCAGAAAAAGAGAAGUGAAGGCGUCCUGUGUCCACCAAAAUGCUUGUCUGAAUAAAAAGGGCUUGUGUUUUUUAAAGAUAUCCGUCUGAUGUGGCUGCAUGGGCACGGUGUUCCACAGUUUUGGGAGCUAAACACAGAUUCUCCGCUGCUUUGUGGGAAAUGGAGAACAGUUUAAAAAAAAAAAACCCAAGCAUCAGCAGAGCUGAAUAUUCUGCCUCUAUGAUAUCGUAUUAAAAGAGUUCUGAACAAGCAGGUGUUUAUCAGUCAGCAGGGUUCUUUUUGGCAAGAUAGAGAAAAGCGUAUUGCAAUAGUUAGACCUAUUAGUCAUGAAAUCAUUAGCCUCUCACUCGUUGUUUAUCUCUCUAUUCUCCACAAGGCGGAAGGAACCAGUCACUGCCGACAUUGAGUGGAAGGCGGGGUUCAACCUGGACAGAUGACCAGUCCAUCACAGUACCAACACACAGAGACAAACAAGCAUUCACCAUUCUCUCAAUUAACAUCUGCGUGUUUUUGUCCCACAGGAACCCAGAGAACCCAGAGAGAACCCAGAGAGAACCCAAAGAGAACCUAGAGAGAACCUAGAGAGAACCCAGAGAGAACCUGAAAACUCCACAAAGGCCCACAGCCGAACCAGGAUUUGAACCGAAUAGCCCGGCAAACAUUCCCCAAAAGCACAAAGUUUGUGUACACACACAUCAUUUCUGGCUGCUCAAACCCCGAGAACACAAAUCGAACAACCCUCAAAAUGUCAUGGCUGCUCAACUGGAACGAGCUCCAGCGAGAUGAAGCCAGUGAGGUAACAAUGGAAGGCAAUGUUGCUUCCCUGUUGCAGAGACCCGACUGCCAAAAGAGACGAAUAGCAAAGCCGAGACGCUGAGACAGAACAGACAGCAUUGCCUGUAGUUCACAGGCUGACUGUCCAUCAUCUCCCACAGAGCCGGCACUAUGAACAUCAAGGUAGAAGACAUGAAGAUUUUUCUACUACAUGAAACAGCUUUAGACAAGUAAUAAGUCACACAGAGCCGACAUCUCUGUGACGAUAUAGCACCCGUCUGUGAACCUUCACACACCGAGUUCGCUAGGCCUCCGAUCUAAUUCCUCUCAUCCCUUAUCUUCAAGGAACUUUGAGACAAAAGGAAGAGUGCACUGUCUAUUAAGUUUAAAAAUGAUCUAUGAGAACUUUCUUCUCUGCGAGAGUGCAACAGUGUUCUUGUGGUUCUUGUGAGUGGUAGCUUCCUUUUUGUUCGUUGUCAAAAGAGAUACCACGAUAUCUAAUCAAUCA